CGCGUAGGCGGCCAUUCAAGUCAGGCGUGAAAGCCCCGGGCUCAACCUGGGAGGUGCGCUUGGGACUGAGUGGCUGGAGUUCGGGAGAGGAGCGUGGAAUUCCCAGUGUAGAGGUGAAAUUCGUAGAUAUUGGGAAGAACACCGGUGGCGAAGGCGGCGCUCUGGACCGAGACUGACGCUGAGGCGCGAAGGCGUGGGGAGCAAACA
rnacentral:rRNA from 1 species